rnacentral:lncRNA from 1 species
UUUUUUAAUCUUUUGUAAAUUCAAAUAUUACAUAAGAAUUAUGGAAUUCUUGGUGAAAUAAUUGUAGCAAUUUUGAGACUCGGGGGAUUUUGUAUUAGAUUAUCUUAUGGAGUUGACAUUUGUUUGAGAGGCUCAUCACUUUUAUUGUCUGUCUGAUUCUGCUUUUGCUUGUUCUUUCAGUAACAAUUAUCUUCGAUUGGUUGAUUCUGCUUUUGCUUGUCCUUUCGGUAACGAUUACAUUCGAUAGAGCGUUUCAUAAAUAAAAAAUUCUAGUGCUUUUGCUGUAGUGGGAUAUUUGAUUUACACUCUACUGCUCGGAUAUACAGGAAGAAUUGCUCAUAAGGAAAAAUGAGCGGCGCUCAAAAAAGAUUUUUAAAUCCUUGGAUUGGAAGCUAUAAGAUUUACACCUCAUUUCUCUAGCAUAUUUCAAAGUAUAUAGAAAAUUUGUAUUGUUCUAUUAUUCAUAAAAAAUUAGAAAACUUGUAAAAUAUCUUUUUAAAUACAAACUAUACAUUUUGCGUAGGGUUUUAGUUAUUUUAUUUGAAAAGAUAAAUCACUUUAUAGUUAGAAUGUUGUCUUUGAUAACUAAUCCUAGCAUCCAAACAAAAUAGUUUAUUUCUAUAGUUUCAAGUUUAGUUUUCUGAAAAACCUGCAAACUAGAGAAUAAAGUGAUAAAAUAUAGAACACAGAGUAAUGCAGUAUUUUAUUUGUUGAAUGAAUAUGUAGUUUAUAAAUUGUAGCAUUUUACUAUCCUUUUAACUGUUGAUGGUGAAGUAGGGGUGGCAAUCUAGCUUGUUGUCCCGAGCUAGCUUGUGUUCGGCUCGAAAUGAGCUCGAGAUCGAAUCGCUCGUUUAGUAAACGAGCCGAAUACGAGCUGAAUUUUUUAGCUCGUUUAAUAAACGAGCCGAAAACAAUAUGGGGUCAUCUUGCUCGUGUUCGUCUUGAUAAUAGCUCAAAUACAUAUAUUUUAUAUUUAUAUAAUUUAUAUUUAUAUAUAUAAAUAAAUAAUUAUAUAUAAAAAUACAAAUCUCUAUUAUUUGAGUUUUAGCCUAACUGAAAUAUGAAGUCCAAGUUAAUUAAAAAAAGGGAGCAGGACUGGUGUGCUCUUAGAAGCGCAGAGGCUUUCGUGCUUCUGAGCCGUUUUCGCCAAUGAAAUUUUCGUAUUGACGAUCAGUUCCGUUAGACUUAAUCUAGCAUAUUUGAAGUUUUCAGAAAAUAAUUUUUGCGACUUUUCGUUAUCAUUUACCAAAUGCAUCAC